GUCGACGGGUUUUGAAACCUGGGAUGCGCAAGGAAGCUGACGAGCGGGAGGCCCUCACGGGCCGCACCGCUGGCCGACCCUGAUCUUCUGUGAAGGGUUCGAGUUGGAGCACGCCUGUCGGGACCCGAAAGAUGGAGGACUAUGCCUGAGCGGGGCGAAGCCAGAGGAAACUCUGGUGGAGGCUCGAAGCGAUACUGACGUGCAAAUCG
rnacentral:ncRNA from 1 species